rnacentral:rRNA from 1 species
UCCCGCAACGAGCGCAACCCUUGUCCUUUGUUGCCAGCGCGUAGAGGCGGGAACUCAAAGGAGACUGCCGGUGAUAAACCGGAGGAAGGUGGGGACGACGUCAAGUCAUCAUGGCCCUUACGAGUAGGGCUACACACGUGCUACAAUGGCGUAUACAAAGGGAUGCGAACCUGCGAGGGAAAGCGGAACUCAGAAAGUACGUCGUAGUCCGGAUUGGAGUCUGCAACUCGACUCCAUGAAGUCGGAAUCGCUUGUAAUCGUAGAUCAGAAUGCUACGGUGAAUACGUUCCCGGGCCUUGUACACACCGCCCGUCACACCAUGGGAGUGGGUUGCAAAAGAAGUAGGUAG